rnacentral:rRNA from 1 species
UACGUAGGGGGCAAGCGUUGUCCGAAUUUAUUGGGCGUAAAGAGCGUGUAGGCGGCCAUACAGGUCCGUUGUGAAAACUGGAGGCUUAACCUCCAGACGUCGAUGGAAACCGUAUGGCUAGAGUCCGGAAGAGGAGAGUGGAAUUCCUGGUGUAGCGGUGAAAUGCGCAGAUAUCAGGAAGAACACCCGUGGCGAAGGCGGCUCUCUGGGACGGUACUGACGCUGAGACGCGAAAGCGUGGGGAGCGAACAGG